CAGACUUUUCAAUGUAAACGCAGCUUAAACACUAAAGAGAAAAGGCAGAAUUUACAUUACUGCCUAGUAACAGCUCUAGUGAUAGUACCUUAGACUGCCACUAGAGGUGCAGCACUGGUGUUUAGCUUCUCCACUCUCUGCCAGGAGACCCUGAAGGUGCCCCAUAGGGAUGCAAUAAUUUAAUGCAUCUCUAUGAGGGGAUGCUGAUUGGCGUGGCGUCUCGCCGUGCAUGCUAAAUUGCCUCCCAAUGUUUUUCUAUGGGAAAGCAUUGGAUUGGCUGAGAUAAUCAAAGCUGAUCAUUUCCGCCCUGACAAGGCCAGAGGGUUGUGGGAGAAUAAAAUCACCCUUUCAGUGCGUGGCCAUAUUACACUAGAAGCUUG